CAGUCGCCGCGGGAAUACGAAGGGGGCUAGCGUUGUUCGGAAUUACUGGGCGUAAAGCGCACGUAGGCGGAUACUUAAGUCAGGGGUGAAAUCCCAGAGCUCAACUCUGGAACUGCCUUUGAUACUGGGUAUCUUGAGUAUGGAAGAGGUUAGUGGAAUUGCGAGUGUAGAGGUGAAAUUCGUAGAUAUUCGCAGGAACACCAGUGGCAAAGGCGGCUAACUGGUCCAUAACUGACGCUGAGGUGCGAAAGCGUGGGGAGCAAACAGGAUUAGAUACCCCCGUAGUCCCUGUCUCUUAUAC
rnacentral:rRNA from 1 species